GUUAAGAUACUUUGUGGAACUGUGGAUG
rnacentral:piRNA from 1 species